UUCCGGUUGAUCCUGCCGGACCCGACUGCUAUCAGAGUGGGACUAAGCCAUGCGAGUCAACGUAGCAAUACGUGGCAUACGGCUCAGUAACACGUAGUCAACAUGCCCAGGGGACGAGGAUAACCUCGGGAAACUGAGGAUAAACCUCGAUAGGCCAUGAUUUCUGGAAUGAUUCUUGGCUCAAACCUAUAUGGCCCCUGGAUUGGACUGCGGCCGAUCAGGCUGUUGGUGAGGUAAUGGCCCACCAAACCUAUUACCGGUACGGGCUCUGAGAGGAGGAGCCCGGAGAUGGGCACUGAGACAAGGGCCCAGGCCCUAUGGGGCGCAGCAGGCGCGAAACCUCUGCAAUAGGCGAAAGCUUGACAGGGUUACUCUGAGUGAUUUCCGCUAAGGGAAUCUUUUGGCACCUCUAAAAAUGGUGCAGAAUAAGGGGUGGGCAAGUCUGGUGUCAGCCGCCGCGGUAAUACCAGCACCCCGAGUGGUCGGGACGAUUAUUGGGCCUAAAGCAUCCGUAGCCGGUCCUGCAAGUCUUCCGUUAAAUCCAGCUGCUCAACAGAUGGGCUGCGGGAGAUACUACAGGGCUAGGAGGCGGGAGAGGCAAGCGGUACUUUAUGGGUAGGGGUAAAAUCCGCUGAUCCAUAGAAGACCACCAGUGGCGAAGGCGGCUUGCCAGAACGCGCUCGACGGUGAGGGAUGAAAGCUGGGGGAGCAAACCGGAUUAGAUACCCGGGUAGUCCCAGCUGUAAACGAUGCAGACUCGGUGAUGGGUUGGCCUCGCGCCUGCCCAGUGCCGCAGGGAAGCCGUUAAGUCUGCCGCCUGGGGCGUACGGUCGCAAGACUGAAACUUAAAGGAAUUGGCGGGGGAGCA
rnacentral:rRNA from 1 species